rnacentral:rRNA from 1 species
GACGAACGCUGGCGGCGUGCUUAACACAUGCAAGUCGAGCGAUGAAGUUCCUUCGGGAACGGAUUAGCGGCGGACGGGUGAGUAACACGUGGGUAACCUGCCUCAUAGAGGGGAAUAGCCUUUCGAAAGGAAGAUUAAUACCGCAUAAGAUUGUAGUUUCGCAUGAAACAGCAAUUAAAGGAGUAAUCCGCUAUGAGAUGGGCCCGCGUCGCAUUGGCUAGUUGGUGAGGUAACGGCUCACCAAGGCGACGAUGCGUAGCCGACCUGAGAGGGUGAUCGGCCACAUUGGGACUGAGGCACGGCCCAGACUCCUACGGGAGGCAGCAGUGGGGAAUAUUGCACAAUGGGGGAAACCCUGAUGCAGCAACGCCGCGUGAGUGAUGACGGUCUUCGGAUUGUAAAGCUCUGUCUUCAGGGACGAUAAUGACAGUACCUGAGGAGGAAGCCACGGCUAACUACGUGCCAGCAGCCGCCGUAA